rnacentral:rRNA from 1 species
ACUCGAGCGGCGAACGGGUGAGUAACACGUGAGUAAUCUGCCCUUGGCUUUGGGAUAACUACCGGAAACGGUGGCUAAUACCGGAUACGACAACCGUCUGCAUGGGCUGGUUGUGGAAAGUUUUUUCGGCCAGGGAUGUGCUCGCGGCCUAUCAGCUUGUUGGUGGGGUAAUGGCCUACCAAGGCUUCGACGGGUAGCCGGCCUGAGAGGGUGACCGGCCACACUGGGACUGAGACACGGCCCAGACUCCUACGGGAGGCAGCAGUGGGGAAUAUUGGACAAUGGGCGGAAGCCUGAUCCAGCAACGCCGCGUGAGGGAUGACGGCCUUCGGGUUGUAAACCUCUUUCAGUACCGACGAAGCGCCGAUGAUGGUGGUGACGGUAGGUACAGAAGAAGCACCGGCCAACUACGUGCCAGCAGCCGCGGUAAUACGUAGGGUGCGAGCGUUGUCCGGAAUUAUUGGGCGUAAAGGGCUCGUAGGCGGUUUGUCGCGUCGGGAGUGAAAACACCGGGCUUAACUCGGUGCUUGCUUUCGAUACGGGCAGACUAGAGGCAUGCAGGGGAGAACGGAAUUCCUGGUGUAGCGGUGAAAUGCGCAGAUAUCAGGAGGAACACCGGUGGCGAAGGCGGUUCUCUGGGCAUGUCCUGACGCUGAGGAGCGAAAGUGUGGGGAGCGAACAGGAUUAGAUACCCUGGUAGUCCACACCGUAAACGUUGGGCGCUA